rnacentral:rRNA from 1 species
GACGAACGCUGGCGGCGUGCCUAAUACAUGCAAGUCGAACGCAGUGGGGACGGGUGAGUAACACGUGGGUAACCUCCCAUCAGAGGGGAUAACACUUGGAAACAGGUGCUAAACCGAUACUGAUGGAUGGACCCGCGGUGCAUUAGCUAGUUGGUGAGGUAACGGCUCACCAAGGCCACGAUGCAUAGCCGGCCUGGAGGGGGGAUCGGCCAAACGGGGACUGAGAAACGGCCCAACCUCCUACGGAGGGCAGAAGUGGGGAAUCUUCGGCAUGGGGCGAAAGUCGGACCGAGCAACGCCGCGGGAGUGAAGAAGGUUUCCGGAUCGUAAAACUCUGUUGUUAGAGAAGCGGUAUCGAACCAGAAAGCCACGGCUAACUACGUGCCAGCAGCCGCGGUAAUUC